rnacentral:lncRNA from 1 species
UUAUUUUUAAUAAAUACAACAAUUAGUACACUUUUGACUCUUUAGAGAUACUGAGGUAAUUGCUGCUAAUCUGCAAUGACUUUACUGAGGUAAUUGAUAUGAUAAAAAUAAUAAUUAUUAUUAUUAUAUAUAUAUGCAUAAUAUGCAGGUUGGAUGGGUCAGAAUUUCAAAAACUAGACACCACCGCCAAAACCUCCACCAGCUCCUGCACCACUGCCAAAUCCACCUCCAGCACCACCACCAUGGCCUCCUCCACCACCUACUCCGCCGCCAAAUCCGCCACCAUGGCCUCCUCCACCACCUGCCCCACCGCCAAAUCCGCCACCAUGUCCUCCGCCACCACCAUGGCCUCCUCCACCACCUGCCCCACCGCCAAAUCCGCUACCAUGUCCUCCGCCAAGUCCACCGCCACCACCAUGUCCUCCACCUAAACCGCCACCAUGGCCUCCGCCAAAUCCACCACCGCCACCAUGUCCUCCACCUAAACCGCCACCAUGACCUCCGCCAAACCCACCGCCGCCACCAUGUCCUCCACCUAAACCGCCACCAUGUCCUCCGCCACCACCAUGACCACCGACCUAAACCGCCACCAUGUCCUCCGCCACCACCAUGACCACCGCCGCCACCAUGACCUCCGCCACCACCAUGACCACCGCCGCCACCAUGACCUCCGCCACCACCAUGACCACCGCCGCCACCUGCUCCGCCGCCAAAACCUCCACCAUGACCUCCUCCACCACCAUGGCCUCCGCCAAAACCUCCACCAUGACCUCCUCCACCGCCAAAUCCGCCACCAUGACCACCUCCUUUUCCAAAUCCACCUCCAUGACCUCCACCAAAUCCACCACCAUGACCUCCUCCACUGCCAAAUCCACCACCAUGACCACCUCCUUUUCCAAAUCCACCUCCGAAGCCUGCUCCUCCUCCAGCACCGCCGCCCAAGUUUUGAACACGAGUCCACCUAGCUUCAGCAACCACGAUUGUAAUGAUCAACAAUACAACGAACCUCAUAGACUUGAAUCCAGUCAUAUUGAUGAGUGGAAGUGUGGGUGUGUGAGUGAACGAUGAUACA